AUUGAACGCUGGCGGCAGGCCUAACACAUGCAAGUCGAGCGGUAGAGAGAAGCUUGCUUCUCUUGAGAGCGGCGGACGGGUGAGUAAUGCCUAGGAAUCUGCCUGGUAGUGGGGGAUAACGUUCGGAAACGGACGCUAAUACCGCAUACGUCCUACGGGAGAAAGCAGGGGACCUUCGGGCCUUGCGCUAUCAGAUGAGCCUAGGUCGGAUUAGCUAGUUGGUGGGGUAAUGGCUCACCAAGGCGACGAUCCGUAACUGGUCUGAGAGGAUGAUCAGUCACACUGGAACUGAGACACGGUCCAGACUCCUACGGGAGGCAGCAGUGGGGAAUAUUGGACAAUGGGCGAAAGCCUGAUCCAGCCAUGCCGCGUGUGUGAAGAAGGUCUUCGGAUUGUAAAGCACUUUAAGUUGGGAGGAAGGGCCAUUACCUAAUACGUGAU
rnacentral:rRNA from 1 species